AUUGAACGCUGGCGGCAUGCUUUACGCAUGCAAGUCGAACGGCAGCGCGGGGGCAACCCUGGCGGCGAGUGGCGAACGGGUGAGUAAUAUAUCGGAACGUACCCAAGAGUUGGGGAUAACGUAGCGAAAGUUACGCUAAUACCGCAUACGAUCUAUGGAUGAAAGCAGGGGAUCGCAAGACCUUGUGCUCCUGGAGCGGC
rnacentral:rRNA from 1 species